rnacentral:rRNA from 1 species
GAUGAACGCUGGCGGCGUGCCUAACACAUGCAAGUCGAGCGGACGGACGAGAAGCUUGCUUCUUUGACGUUAGCGGCGCACGGGUGAGUAACAUGUGUAUAACCUACCUAUAUGACUGGGAAAACUUCGGGAAACCGGAGCUAAUACCGGAUAAUCUUUUGAACCGCAUGGUUCAAAAGUAAAAGACGGCCUUGCUGUCUCUUAUAGAUGGUUCCGCGCUGCAUUAGCUAGUUGGUAAGGUAACGGCUUACCAAGGCAACGAUGCAUAGCCGACCUGAGAGGGUGAUCGGCCACACUGGAACUGAGACACGGUCCAGACUCCUACGGGAGGCAGCAGUAGGGAAUCUUGCGCAAUGGGCGAAAGCCUGACGCAGCAACGCCGCGUGAGUGAUGAAGGUCUUCGGAUCGUAAAGCUCUGUUAUUGGGGAAGAACAUAUGUGUAAGUAACUGUGCACAUCUUGACGGUACCUAAUCAGAAAGCAACGGCUAACUACGUG